rnacentral:lncRNA from 1 species
GUUGAAACCGUCUCUACUAAAAUUACCAAAAUUAGCUGGGUGUGGUGGCGCACACCUGUAAUCCCACCUACUCAGGAGGCGGAGGCACAAGAAUUGCUUGAACUCGGAGGGUGGAGGUUGCCAUGACCCGAGAUCGCACCACUGCACUCCAGCCUGGGUGACAGAGCAAGAGUCUGUCUCAGAAAAUAAUAAUAAUACUUUUUUUUUUGUAGGGGUGGGGUCUUGCUCUGUUGACCAGCCUGGUCUUGAACUCUUGGGCUCAAGUGAUCCUCCUGUCUCGGCCUCCCAAAGUGAUGGGAUUACAGGAAGAAGCCACCGUGCCUGACCAUCGGUGGCAUUUCUUUGGAGAUAUUUGGGCUGUUCUGAGAAGACAGUUGAGGCAAGAGCCAUGUGGCCCAGGGGUCAGUGUGACUUUCUCUAGCCUUUUCCCCUCCAAACCAAGCUGCUCCUUUGUCCCCUCAGGUCAGAAGCACCUCAGGAAGGCUGUCUUACAACCACAGCGCCUCCUGUGUGGACGAAGGCUCGGUGUUUGGAGUUCCCAGGGAAGGUGGAGGGAAGGACGAGACGGCAGAUGGAGGAAGACAGGACUCAGAAACCCUCGUUUCUUCUGGUUUGCUUCUGACUUGAACUGAAGCUCGUGCCUCCGUGAACCUGGGAACCUUUUGAUUUCUGGAAGGAGCUGCGUGCAGAAGGUCUGACUGCAUCAAAUUAAAACUUUGGGUUUUAGGUAGGCACAGCCACAAAAAAGUUGAAGCUGGCAUGUCUUGUCCAAGGCUACCUAUCAUGACAGAAAUAGAAGUGGAUCUCUGGCCUGGCCGUCUGGGACUGCGAUGUCUCACUGUGGGGCCUGCCUGGAACUGAAGGUUUCCCAUGAGUCAUAGACUUCCCUGGUGCAGGGCAGCAACCCAGGGGCUUGGUAACUGGGUUGAGGGAAAGAGAGAAGUUUUUGUUUAUGAUCUCAUUCCAAUCAGAAUGUGUCCAGACGCCCAAAUAUUUGAUUUGAGCCUGGUUGCUAAGAGACCUCCCACUGGGACCCAGCUGCCUGCGGGCAGGAGGGCGGUAUUGGCAUCAUUUCAGAUUUCUGCCAAUUUAUUUUGAAACCAGAAAACCUAGAACCUCGGCCUCCUCAAGGCAACCAGGGGGAGAGGAGAGAUCUGAGUCAGCCGAACUACAGGGAGAAAACCCCCGCUAACCUUCUGCCAGGGAGCUGUAGGAAGGUUCGGGAUAGAACAGAAUGAUGACAUUGUGCUUGUUUACUUCAUGGGAAAUAGGCUGGUAGGGUAAUGAAGAAGAAAUUGGAGCUCUGUGCUUAGAAAUGCAAGUGUCAUCUUGAAGAAACCUCAGGGAUUCCAGAACAAUGCUGGAUUUCCGGGUAAUAAUUGGGCGUUAUGAAGGCUUCCCUGAUCGGAUCUACACACCCAGCGUCUUGGGUUUUAAUUGCCUGGUGACUUAAAUGCCUUGGGGAAAUGGCAUGAGUAACAUGGUCCUAGGUAAGCGUGUGCGGGGUCGGUGCACAUGGGAGAGGUGGGGAAACCUGCUUCUGGCUUCUCUCCUUUCUCAGCAGAAGGCAGACAGCUAAGGGAAAAGGCUUCGCAUCUGUACUGGUAUCAAGGAACCCUGGGCAUUCCCACGCUAGUAGCAGCAGAACAGAACCUCUAGAUGUGAUCUCUGUCCCCAGUGCCAUUCUCAGGACCAAGCAGUGAUAAAUACAGACCUAGAAAUUUUACAAGGUUUUUUUUUUUUUUUGUCGUUGCCCAGGUUGGAGUGCAGUGGUGCGAUCUUGCCUCACUGCAACCUCCAACUCCCGGAUUCAAGUGAUUCUCGUGCCUCAGCCUCCUAUGUAGCUGGGACUGCAGGUGCGUGCCACCACACCUGGCUAGUUUUUGUAUUUUUAGUAGAUGGGGUUUCACCAUGUUGGCCAGGCUGGUCUCGAACUCCUGACCUCAGGGCAGGAGAAAUUGGAUGUCCCAGCUCAAACAAUCAGGCAGGAAGGGGAAAAGGAGCAAAUUCCUUUUUCCUCCAUCUGUUUGCUCUAUUCAGGCCCUCAGUGGAUUGGUCGAUGCCCUCCCACACUGGGGAGGGUUUUCUACUUCACCGGGACCCCGUGGUGCCGUCAGGUUGACACAUGAAAUGAACCAUCACAGUCUUCAUCUCAGUGACAUUCUCUGAAGAAGGACAGCACAGUGGGUUUUGCUUUCAGAUGGAAACUUACUGCAGGAUCCACUAUUUUCUGAUGAGCCAUGUGAUCUUGGGCAAGUUCUGAUGCCUCAGUUUCCCCAUCUGUCAAAAGCUAUCUUGAUACAGAUUGUUAGACCAUACAGACAUAUGCACUCAUAUGUUCAUUGCAGCACUAUUCACAAAAGCAAAGACAUGGAAUCAACCUAGAUGCCCAUCAAUGGCGGAUUGGAUAAAGAAAAUCUGGAACAUACACACCAUGGAAUAUUAUGCAGCCUUAAAAAGAACAAAAUCAUGUCCUUCGCGCAACAUGAAUAGAGCUGGAGGCCAUUAUUCUAAGUUAAUAACACAGCAACAGAAAACCAAAUCCUGAUUGGGCACGGUGGCUCACGCCUGUAAUCCCAACAUUUUGGGAGGCUGAGGUAGGUGGAUCAUUUGAGGUCAGGAGUUCAAGACCAGCCUGGCCAACAUAGCAAAACCCCAUCUCUACUAAAAAUAUAAAAAUUAGUCGGGUUUAGUGGUGCACACCUGUAAUACCAGCUACUCAGGAGGCUGAGGCAGGAGAAUCGCUUGAACCUGCGAAGUGGAAGUUGCAGUAAGCUGAGAUGUCACCACUGCACUCUAGCCUGGGCCACAGAGUGAGACUCUGUCUCAAAAAAAAAAAAAAAAAGUACUGUAUGUUCUCACUCAUAAGUGG